GUGAGGCGGGGCCGGGAGGGGGUGUGGCGUGGGUGCUGCGGGGCCGUCAGGGCACCUGCGGGAGGCUCACCUGGCUGGCCCGCCCAG
ensembl:miRNA